UACGGGGGGAGCAAGCGUUGUUCGGAUUUACUGGGCGUAAAGGGCGCGUAGGCGGCCAGCACAAGUCAGUUGUGAAAUCUCCGGGCUUAACUCGGAAAGGUCAACUGAUACUGUGCGGCUAGAGUGCAGAAGGGGCAACUGGAAUUCUCGGUGUAGCGGUGAAAUGCGUAGAUAUCGAGAGGAACACCUGCGGCGAAGGCGGGUUGCUGGGCUGACACCGACGCUGAUGCGCGAAAGCCAGGGGAGCGAACGGG
rnacentral:rRNA from 1 species